GAUACCCCUGUAGUCCUGGCCGUAAACGAUGAACACUAGGUGUCGGGGGAAUCGACCCCCUCGGUGUCGUAGCCAACGCGUUAAGUGUUCCGCCUGGGGAGUACGCACGCAAGUGUGAAACUCAAAGGAAUUGACGGGGGCCCGCACAAGCGGUGGAGUAUGUGGUUUAAUUCGAUGCAACGCGAAGAACCUUACCAGGGUUUGACAUCCUGCGAAUCCCUUGGAAACUUGGGAGUGCCUUCGGGAGCGCAGUGACAGGUGGUGCAUGGCUGUCGUCAGCUCGUGUCGUGAGAUGUUGGGUUAAGUCCCGCAACGAGCGCAACCCACGUCUUUAGUUGCCAGCAUUGAGUUGGGCACUCUAGAGAGACUGCCGGUGAUAAACCGGAGGAAGGUGUGGAUGACGUCAAGUCAUCAUGCCCCUUACAUCCUGGGCUACACACGUACUACAAUGCUACGGACAAAGGGCAGCAAACUCGCGAGAGCUAGCCAAUCCCAUAAACCGUGGCUCAGUUCAGAUCGUAGGCUGCAACUCGCCUACGUGAAGGAGGAAUCGCUAGUAAUCGCAGGUCAGCAUACUGCGGUGAAUACGUUCCCGGGCCUUGUACACACCGCCCGUCACACCAUGGAAGUUGGCCACGCCCGAAGUCGUUACUCCAACCCUUGUGGAGGAGGAUGCCGAAGGUGGGGCUGAUGACUGGGGUGAAGUCGUAACAAGGUAGCCGUACCGGAAGGUGC
rnacentral:rRNA from 1 species